rnacentral:lncRNA from 10 species
GAUUUCUUUGGUUGAAAAUACUUUAUUGACCCAUAUGGCAGGAAGACCACUCAGCACAGAGGACUGUUCCCAAAUAGGGAAAAAUGGGAGGCAGCCAGCAGACACGUGCCUUCUCAUAUGAUGGAGUGUGGUGACUCUUCUCUGCUGCUCUGUGUUUACACAGCCAACUCUCAGGCAGGAUUCUCAACUGGACCAUACAAUGUGAACAUGGCAGAGGUAAGGUACCCUAUUGACCAGGCACGGUGGCUGAUGCCUGUAAUCCCAGCACUUUGGAAGGCCGAGGAUGCCUCAGGUGGAGAAGUCAUGUUAAGCAACUUGCAAUACCGGGGACUGAAGAAAGCUGAGAACCUGACAGCUCCAUGUUUCAAUUUGGAAAAUGAUAGAUGAAGAAGUUUCAACAUCGGGACCAUAAUUCAAUUCUCUCCUAACUACUGAUUACAAUUGUGGUGGAGAAAAAGGUGUUCCUGGAGAAAGAAAGAAGACCAGAUAUUAGAGUGGGAAAGAAAAGAACAUUGAAUUAAAACAAACGGUAACUAAAAUGGCAGAAAAAAAGCUUCAGGUAACAGCACGGCCACAGGGGGAUAGAGCACCAAGUGGGCCUGUGGGAUCGCCAAUUCCAGAACUUGACCCUUGGAUGGCAUUUCUGGAUCUGCGAUGGGGAAGACAGGAGCCCAUUGUCCUGAAAGGUGUCUCAGAACAAACAGAGAUGUCCGCUUUCAUCAGCGUUUUUCAACACACUACUGGAAUUCCGAGCUAGAGCAAUCAGACAAGAGAAAGAAGUAAAGGGUGUCCAACUGGAAUGAAAGAAGUCAAAUUAUCCUUGUUUGCAGACCCUCCAGAUCCUAAAGGGAUUAACUAAGAUCUGAAUAGGAAACAUUUGUCAUCUAUUGUCUCUAAGGGUAGCCGCUGUAAAACUUCAGAAGAACUUUGGUCUUCACAGUCUUUAUCUUAACGUGAACAUUCCCUUUCUAUCAAUCCCAGGUCUUUAGACAAACUCAACCAAUUGUCAACCAGAAAAUGUUUAAAUUCACCUAUAGCCUGGAAGCCCCCCAGUUUUGAGUUGUCCCACCUUUCCAGACCAAGCCAAUGUAUUUCUUAAAUGUAUUUGAUUGAUGAAUCAUGCCUCUCUAAAAUGUAUAAAACUAACUUGCGCCCCGACCACCUAGGGCACAUGUUCUCAGGGCCUGCUGUGGUCUGUGUCACAGGCCAUGGUCACUCAUAUUUAGUUUAGAAUAAAUCUCUUCGAAUAUUUCACAGCGUUUGACUCUUCAUUGAUGGAAAUUCUAAUUAUUAAUAGCCACAAGAUAGAUACUUUAAAUUAG